rnacentral:rRNA from 1 species
AUACGUAGGUGGCAAGCGUUGUCCGGAAUUAUUGGGCGUAAAGGGUGCGUAGGCGGUCCAUUAAGUCUGAUUUGAAAGCCCAUGGCUUAACCAUGGAGGGAGAUUGGAAACUGAAGGACUUGAGAACAGGAGAGGAAGGUGGAAUUCCACGUGUAGCGGUGAAAUGCGUAGAGAUGUGGAGGAACACCAGUGGCGAAGGCGGCCUUCUGGCCUGUGACUGACGCUGAGGCACGAAAGCGUGGGUAGCAAACAGGAUUAGAUACCCUGGUAGUCCACGCUGUAAACGAUGAGUACUAAGUGUUGGGGGAAACCUCGGUGCUGAAGUUAACGCAUUAAGUACUCCGCCUGGGAAGUACGGUCGCAAGACUGAA